rnacentral:rRNA from 1 species
UACGUAGGGUGCAAGCGUUGUCCGGAAUUAUUGGGCGUAAAGAGCUCGUAGGCGGUUUGUCGCGUCGGCUGUGAAAACCUGGGGCUCAACCCCGGGCCUGCAGCCGAUACGGGCAAACUAGAAUUCGGUAGGGGAGACUGGAAUUCCUGGUGUAGCGGUGAAAUGCGCAGAUAUCAGGAGGAACACCGGUGGCGAAGGCGGGUCGCUGGGCCGAUAUUGACGCUGAGGAGCGAAAGCGUGGGGAGCAAACAGG